AACCUGACUCACACCGGUUUAAACUCAGAUCAUGUAAAAUUUUAAAGGUCGAACAGACCUAAACUACURGCUUCUACACCAAUAGUAAAUUUUAAUCCAACAUCGAAGUCGCAAUCUUUUUUUUUGAUAAGAACUCUAAAAAAAAUAACGCUGUUAUCCCUAAGGUAAUUUGUUCUUAUAAUUUAAACUUUAGGAUCAUUCAACUACAAAUAAAUAUUUUUCAUAAAAAAAAAGUUAAUUAAWUUUUUUUAUCACCCCAACCAAAUACAUAACUAAAACAUAGAUAUACUUUUCCUUAAUAUCUCACACUUUAAUCCACGUAUAAAACUCUAUAGGGUCUUCUCGUCUUCAAUAAAAAUUUAAGCUUUUUAACUUAAAAAUAAAAUUUUAAUAAAUUUUAAUAGAGACAGCUACUUUUUCAUCAAACCUUUCAUCCAAGCUUUCAAUUAAAAAACUAAUGAUUAUGCUACCUUUGCACGGUCAAUAUACCGCGGCCRUUUAAAUACUCAGCGGGCAGGACAGACUUGAAAUUAUAAUCAACAAGCCAUGUUUU
rnacentral:rRNA from 1 species